ACUAGUUUAGUUGAUUAUUAAUUCAUUAAACUCAUUUGACUGGUUGGGGGAAAAAUGGGGAGGAGGUAAAAUUUAGCAAGUGAAGGAGGGGCCAGAGUUGAUGUCAACUGACAGAGAGGAGGAUGAUCAGACAAGACAACUCUCAAACAACACAGAAUGGCUAUGGCGGGCACUGAAAAGUCAACAUGGCUGGAAAAGUCAACAUGGGUUUGCUGUGGUAUGCAAGCUUAAAAGGUCUAAAAAUGAAGACUAAAAGAGAGGGAUUUGGAGAUCUUGAGACAGAGUUUUCCCAAAACUGUUUACAUGCCUGCACAAUUAUCAUCCCAGAUGUCAGAAAUGAGAAAGCACCUCUUGCCACAGGAGAUGGAAAAGGGGAAAAGGACCCAAAGAGAAGAGUUGAGGGAAUCGGCGAUACAAUCACCUGGGAACACUGGACCAAAUCUCCCUGGACUGUUGAGAUUUAUUAGAGCAGCUCCCUAUGGAGCCAGCAAAUCUCAGAUCUCUGGCGGAUGGACCAUGUGCCGGCUGAGAAAUGUCACCAUCACACGUUCACACAUUCACAGAAGCUUUGUCUGAUUAUCAUUUAAGUCUUUUGGGAUGAGCAGUUCUGUCCAACGCUAGUAUGUCAGAUUGCCCUCAUGAACUAUGAUACUGAGAGCCUUUAAAAAGCAGCCUUUAGGAGUCCUGAAACGCUCCCUUCUCUUAAAACCUGCCUCAAUUACUUGUUUUGUUUCCUUUUGUCCAACUACUUAUGUUGAAAUCCACAGUAACUUUUGUGGAAAUUACAGUGUCUUCUAAGUCAAUUGGAACAAUUGGUUUUUCUAUGCUUCCCCACUGCUCAAAAAUCAGAGAGAGCUCAGUUCCCAGUGUUUUUAUUUUCUUUUGGAAACUUAUGUAAUUGAAUUAAGAAAGGAUCCAGAGGCAGUAGAUGGUAGAAGCGACUUUAUGCAGAGAGAAAAUGAGAGGUUGAGGUGAGGAGGAAAAGUCUAUGAGAGUGAAAAUGGAACUGUCUGGAACUAUAUCACAUGAUGUGCCCCUUUCACUGAGCGAUCUUUGGCACAUUAUUUAAGUAAAAAUAAAAUGGCAUUUAAGUAUUGUUGUCCACUAUGUUAGGUUUUCCUAACCCUGACAUAUUUCCAUUAUGAGUUUUUCAAAGUGUGAGAAACUCUCCAGAAUACACUUCAGGAUGUCCUUUUUCUUCAAAAAUACAGUGUGGAAAACAUGGGUUUAAG
rnacentral:lncRNA from 1 species